AGAGAGAGACAUGCGCGCAUAUCAAUAAGCGGAGGAAAAGAAACUAACAAGGAUUCCCCUAGUAACGGCGAGUGAAGCGGGAAGAACUCAAAUUUGAAAUCUUAAAGGGUUUCCCUUUACGAAUUGUAGUUUAAAGAAGUGUUUUCUGUUGAGGUUUUGGUAAAAGUUCUUUGGAAUAGGACAUCAUAGAGGGUGAGAAUCCCGUAUUUGACCUUUACUUUCAACUUUGUGAUACACUUUCAAAGAGUCGGAUUGUUUGGGAAUGCAGUCCAAAAUGGGUGGUAAAUUUCAUCUAAAGCUAAAUAUUGGCGAGAGACCGAUAGCGAACAAGUACCGUGAGGGAAAGAUGAAAAGAACUUUGAAAAGAGAGUUAAACAGUACGUGAAAUUGUCAAAAGGGAAGCGUUUGACACCAGUGUUGUUUUUCUGAAAAUCAAUUAAAGAACUGUUUAUGCUAAGUUGUUUAGACUUUAUCAGCUAACUGUUUAGUUUUGAGCUUUUCUUUAAUGCACUUUUCAGUUAACAAGUCAACAUCAAUUUCUUUUGCUGUAAAAAAGCUUGAGGAAGGUGGCUUGAAAUUCGUCUUAAGUGUUUAUAGCCUCUUGCCUAUGCAGUCGGAGAGAUUGAGGUCUGCAGCGUAGAUCCUUCGGGGCUAAAUGCAUUUGUGCUAAGUUAUAGCAUUUUAUAGACAACUUGUUGACUAUGAUUUGUCUUGUAGCUUACUCGCUUAUGUUAUUUUACCUACGCUUAGGAUGUUGAGCGCAUGUCUCUCUCU
rnacentral:rRNA from 1 species